UGAGCGUACGGUGGAUGUCUUGGCACCAGGAGCCGAUGAAGGACGUGGGAGGCUGCGAUAAGCCUCGGGGAGCUGUCAACCGAGCUGUGAUCCGAGGAUGUCCGAAUGGGGAAACCCAGCACCAGUGAUGUGGUGUUACUCGUGCCUGAAUGUAUAGGGUUCGAGAGGGAACGCGGGGAAGUGAAACAUCUCAGUACCCGUAGGAGAAGAAAACAACCGUGAUUCCGUGAGUAGUGGCGAGCGAAAGCGGAGGUAGGCCAAACCGCAUGCAUGUGAUACCCGGCAGGGGUUGUGUGUGUGGUGUUGUGGGGUUCAUGCGUCUCGGUUCUGCCGGAUCGAGCGACAGUGAUAAAUCGUGGGUGUUAGCCGAAGUGGGUUGGAAAGCCCGACCGUAGACGGUGAUAGUCCGGUAGGUGAAAACUCUGCGACUGUUGUGUGUGGAUGCCCAAGUAGCAGCGGGCCCGUGAAAUCUGCUGUGAAUCUGCCGGGACCACCCGGUAAGCCUGAAUACUCCCUGGUGACCGAUAGCGGACUAGUACCGUGAGGGAAAGAUGAAAAGUACCCCGGGAGGGGAGUGAAAUAGUACCUGAAACCGUGCGCUUACAAUCCGUCAAAGCCUGUGCAUCCUUGAGUGGGUGGUGGGUGAUGGCGUGCCUUUUGAAGAAUGAGCCUGCGAGUCAGUGCUCGGUGGCGAGGUUAACCCGUGUGGGGUAGCCGUAGCGAAAGCGAGUCCGAAUAGGGCGUUGAGUUGCCGGGUCUGGACCCGAAGCGGAGUGAUCUACCCAUGGCCAGGGUGAAGCAGCAGUAAGAUGUUGUGGAGGCCCGAACCCACUUAGGUUGAAAACUGAGGGGAUGAGUUGUGGGUAGGGGUGAAAGGCCAAUCAAACUCCGUGAUAGCUGGUUCUCCCCGAAAUGCAUUUAGGUGCAGCGUCACGUGUUUCACACCGGAGGUAGAGCUACUGGAUGGUCUAGGGGGCCCACAAGCUUACCGAAAUCAGCCAAACUCCGAAUGCCGGUGUGUGAGAGCGUGGCAGUGAGACUGCGGGGGAUAAGCUUCGUAGUCGAGAGGGAAACAGCCCAGAUCGCCGGCUAAGGCCCCUAAGCGUGUACUAAGUGGAAAAGGAUGUGGGAUCGCGAAGACAACCAGGAGGUUGGCUUAGAAGCAGCCACCCUUGAAAGAGUGCGUAAUAGCUCACUGGUCAAGUGGUUCUGCGCCGACAAUGUAGCGGGGCUCAAGUACACCGCCGAAGCCGCGGCAUUCGCAUGUUCGCCUCCUUUCAGCCUGCGGGUUGUUGGGUAGGUGUGCGGAUGGGUAGGGGAGCGUCCUGUACCUGUGGAAGCAGUGGAGUGAUCCAACUGUGGAGGGUAUGGGAGUGAGAAUGCAGGCAUGAGUAGCGAAAGAAGAGUGAGAAACUCUUCCGCCGAAUGACCAAGGGUUCCCGGGGCAGGUUUAUCCGCCCGGGGUGAGUCGGGACCUAAGGCGAGGCCGACAGGCGUAGUCGAUGGACAACGGGUUGAUAUUCCCGUACCCGUGUUUCCGCGCCCGUGAUGAAUCAGUUGUACUAACCGUCCAAAACUUUCCUGACCGCCUUCGGGUGGCGUGGGGAGGGCUGCACGGGACCUCGGCUGGUAGUAGUCAAGCGAUGGGGUGACGCAGGAAGGUAGCUGGGCCGGUCAGUGGUUGUACCGGUGUAAGCCUGUAGGGCGAAUGGUAGGCAAAUCCGCCGUUCAUGUGCCUGAGAGGUGAUGCAUAGCCGUUUGAGGCGAAUUCAGUGAUCCUAUGCUGCCGAGAAAAGCCUCUAGCGAGUGGAUUCACGGCCCGUACCCCAAACCGACACAGGUGGUCAGGUAGAGAAUACUAAGGCGAUCGAGAUAACUGUGGUUAAGGAACUCGGCAAAAUGCCCCCGUAACUUCGGGAGAAGGGGGACCACGUCUGGUGAUGGAACUUGCUUCCUGAGCUGGGUGUGGUCGCAGAGACCAGAGAGAAGCGACUGUUUACUAAAAACACAGGUCCGUGCGAAGUCGUAAGACGAUGUAUACGGACUGACGUCUGCCCGGUGCUGGAAGGUUAAGAGGACCUGUCAACUCCCUUUGGGGGGUGAAGCGGAGAAUUUAAGCCCCAGUAAACGGCGGUGGUAACUAUAACCAUCCUAAGGUAGCGAAAUUCCUUGUCGGGUAAGUUCCGACCUGCACGAAUGGCGUAACGACUUCUCUGCUGUCUCGACCACAGACUCGGCGAAAUUGCAUUACGAGUAAAGAUGCUCGUUACGCGCGGCAGGACGAAAAGACCCCGGGACCUUUACUAUAGCUUGGUAUUGGUGUUCGAUUCGGUUUGUGUAGGAUAGGUGGGAGACUGUGAAGCGGAUACGCCAGUGUUCGUGGAGUCGUUGUUGAAAUACCACUCUGAUCGUAUUGGAUGUCUAACCUCGGACCAUGAUCUGGUUCAGGGACAGUGCCUGGUGGGUAGUUUAACUGGGGCGGUUGCCUCCCAAAAUGUAACGGAGGCGCCCAAAGGUUCCCUCAGCCUGGUUGGCAAUCAGGUGUUGAGUGCAAGUGCACAAGGGAGCUUGACUGUGAGACUGACAGGUCGAGCAGGGACGAAAGUCGGGACUAGUGAUCCGGCACCGGCAAGUGGAAGCGGUGUCGCUCAACGGAUAAAAGGUACCCCGGGGAUAACAGGCUGAUCUUCCCCAAGAGUCCAUAUCGACGGGAUGGUUUGGCACCUCGAUGUCGGCUCGUCGCAUCCUGGGGCUGGAGUAGGUCCCAAGGGUUGGGCUGUUCGCCCAUUAAAGCGGCACGCGAGCUGGGUUUAGAACGUCGUGAGACAGUUCGGUCUCUAUCCGCCGCGCGCGAUUAGAAACUCGAGGAAGGCUGUCCCUAGUACGAGAGGACCGGGACGGACGAACCUCUGGUGUGCCAGUUGUUCCACCAGGAGCAUGGCUGGUUGGCUACGUUCGGAAGGGAUAACCGCUGAAAGCAUCUAAGCGGGAAACCCGUUCCACGAUCAGGUUUCUCCACCCUUGU
rnacentral:rRNA from 1 species